rnacentral:lncRNA from 10 species
UAGAGACGGGGUUUCAUCAUGUUAGCCAGGUUGGUCUCAAACUCUUGACCUCAACUGAUCUGGUGCCUCGGCCUCCCAAAGUGCUGGGAUUACAGACAUGAGCCAUCGCGCCUGGCCACCAGUCCAGAUGAAGACAGUAACUACUGAUCUGUGAAACCUCUGCAACACAACGGGGCUGCUCACGGCCACACGCCUGGCCUCACAGGUGACGCCUUCGCCCUCCUCUGGGUUCCCUGUUUCUCCCUCCUCCGAACUGAGCAUCUGUCUUCUUCUGACAAGUACUUUCUGCUACCUUGUGCUUCAAGUCAAUUUCUAGAGACACCAGAUAGAUUUCAAUUCUGUAAAGAUUUACUACGAAUCACACAGUGCUGGACGACGUGCUAACACAUAUUCACAUAUGAUGCUGGCUCCAGAGCUCAGUAAGCUGAGCACCUCCAACAUCCCCCUCACAGCCAUGGCCUGUCCUGCAGGUGCUGGUUUCUGCUGCAGACACAGGCUCUCCAGGCAGCCCUGUGCUCUUUGCAGCUAUUCCUGGAAGCCUUGGGACGUCUCACCGAUGCCCUCCAUGUUCGGUUCUGCACACCUGCCCUUCUACGAGUCUCUUCUCUCAACGCCUCCUUACCCGGUUGCUGUCCAUAUUGCAGAAGAGGGCAGGGCCCAGGGAGCUGAAUCCCGGCAAGUCCACGCUGCUGAGCUCCCAAGACCUUCAGUAAAGUAGGAUUGUCUCUUUCACACCUAGCCCUGCAUCCACCGCCAUCGACCCAGGGUUCUCUCUGCAGCUCUAGCACCUGGCAUCCUCAGACAUCUUCUUAAUACUCACGCAAGUUCUACAGAUGAGAAAAUGAGGCUUCAAAAGAUGAAGACCACACGAUGACUGAAUGGAUGGUGCUGAGUUAUAAUAGCAGUAUCUGUCAUGUAUGGGUUGCUUCCUAUGGGAUAAGCACAAUGAUGCCAUUUCAUUUUAUCCACUCAAUGGCAUACACUGGGAUAGCAUAACAAUAGAACACAUGGGACUCUGAAUUCUGCAGGCUAGGUUUAAUUCUGUUUCUGCUACAUAAUAGCAAAAGAGUUCAUCUUGAUUCUGCUACAUAAUAGCAAAACAGUUCAUCUUGAUUCUGCUACAUAAUAGCAAAACAGUUCAUCUUGCUUUAAGUCAUAAGUCACGGCUCCGAAAAGGACACCCCAAGUAUGGCCUUGACCUGCUGAGGACUUUGAACUAAAGGGCAUUGGAAAGCCUCAGAAGCAGCCUCAGAACCAAGUCUCUGACCUUCUCCUGCCCUCCUGUCUCUCGCCCCUCAUUCCCCCAAGAAGUGAGUCAUAGAAACCAGAAAUCCUCUUCCCUAAAGCAGGUCACGGAAACUAGAAUCUCUUUCCCCAAAGCCAGCCAUUAGAAACUAGAAUCACUACUGGAACUUUCCCUGCCUUUCUGAGUAAGAGCUGGCCAUAAAGAAGUUCUCUGACUUACUUUCCUGAAAGUAGGUUAUAAGACCCUCAUUCCAGAAGGGGCCCUGCCCUACACGCAGGAAGAAGGAACGCCACACAGGGAGGCCAAGAGGAACCCAGACAGGCCCAGCUGGGUCCCCCUCUGUCUGUCACUGUCCCAUCGCUCCCUCUGUGUCCAGUCACAGCUCCGCAGGGCUACCACUCUUCAUCAAAUCUAAGCAUAGAAAUGGGCAGUUUUCCCUUGGUUCUUUGGGUCUUCAUUUCCUAAGGCUCCCAUGUUAUGUAAAACUUUGAUUAAACAAAUCUGUGUGCUUUUCUCUUGUUAACCUGUCUUUUGUUACAGGAGAAUCGGCAGUGGCCCCUUAGCAUGGUGGCACACGUCUGUAAUCCCAGGUACUUGGGAGGCUGAGGCACGAGAAUCACUAGAACCUAGAAGGAGGAUGUUGCAGUGAGCUGAGAUUGCACCACUGCACUCCAGCCUGGGCAACAGAGCAAGACUCCCAUCUCAAAAAAAAAAUUAAAUUAAAUAAAAAUUAAAAAAAAUUAAAAC